AUUGAACGCUGGCGGCAGGCCUAACACAUGCAAGUCGAGCGGAUGAAGGGAGCUUGCUCCUGGAUUCAGCGGCGGACGGGUGAGUAAUGCCUAGGAAUCUGCCUGGUAGUGGGGGAUAACGUCCGGAAACGGGCGCUAAUACCGCAUACGUCCUGAGGGAGAAAGUGGGGGAUCUUCGGACCUCGCGCUAUCAGAUGAGCCUAGGUCGGAUUAGCUAGUUGGUGGGGUAAAGGCCUACCAAGGCGACGAUCCGUAACUGGUCUGAGAGGAUGAUCAGUCACACUGGAACUGAGAAACGGUCCAGACUCCUACGGGAGGCAGCAGUGGGGAAUAUUGGACAAUGGGCGAAAGCCUGAUCCAGCCAUGCCGCGUGUGUGAAGAAGGUCUUCGGAUUGUAAAGCACUUUAAGUUGGGAGGAAGGGCAGUAAGUUAAUACCUUGCUGUUUUGACGUUACCAACAGAAUAAGCACCGGCUAACUUCGUG
rnacentral:rRNA from 1 species